rnacentral:rRNA from 1 species
CCUACGGGAGGCAGCAGUGGGGAAUAUUGGACAAUGGGCGCAAGCCUGAUCCAGCCAUGCCGCGUGAGUGAUGAAGGCCUUAGGGUUGUAAAGCUCUUUUGUCCGGGACGAUAAUGACGGUACCGGAAGAAUAAGCCCCGGCUAACUUCGUGCCAGCAGCCGCGGUAAUACGAAGGGGGCUAGCGUUGCUCGGAAUCACUGGGCGUAAAGGGCGCGUAGGCGGCCAUUCAAGUCGGGGGUGAAAGCCUGUGGCUCAACCACAGAAUUGCCUUCGAUACUGUUUGGCUUGAGUUUGGUAGAGGUUGGUGGAACUGCGAGUGUAGAGGUGAAAUUCGUAGAUAUUCGCAAGAACACCAGUGGCGAAGGCGGCCAACUGGACCAAUACUGACGCUGAGGCGCGAAAGCUGGGGAGCAAACAGGAUUAGAUACCCUGGUAGUCCACGCGUAACGA